rnacentral:lncRNA from 1 species
CCCCACAAUGCUACUUCUCUGGACAAGAGCACAGAAUAUGCAAUUUUCUCACAGAAAGUCAACAGCUUUUUGUUACUCACAGCUUUUCAACCCCAGCAUUUGCCUGCCCACCAGCCUCAGCAUCAAACGAGGAACAUGCCCACGUGCAGGGGAGGACUGCAGUGCAGGCACCAGGGUCAGAGGGCCAUGCUCAGCUCCCUUACAAAUUUGGCGUUGGGACCCCUUCACCCUUUCCAUCGACUCAAGUACAAGGUUCCAUUCUUCAUUAAGGCUAUUUUAAAAUCUGCAAAGAACUGUUUUCCAGAUGUGGAUAUGCACAGACAGUAAUUGCACUUCAUGAUCACUUCCAGCUGCCCUAAAUGCCUGCCAACAAAUUCCCAUAAGGAGUGCAUGUUUUGUGCUGCAAAUCAGG